AUUCCAUGGUGAGGGCAAUUUUUGAUCAUCAUAUUGAAACGCUCAAAAGCCUCAUGAAACAUUUCACGAUGUUUUUGUUGGAAACUCCUCAACCCUUUUCUAGCAU
rnacentral:snoRNA from 2 species